CUGCUCAAUGAUUUUUUAAAUUGCCUCUGUGGUAUUUUGACUAUACGAAGGUAUUGAAAUAAGGUUUUAAUUGAAUGCUAAAAGAAUGGAUUAACAAAAAAAUUCUUUUUUAAUUUUAAAAAUUAAAAAUUAUUUUUAUUUGUGAAGAAACAAUAAUAUAAAUUAAGGACAAGAAGACCCUAAGAAUUUUAACUUUUUAAAAAAACUAGUUUUUUUAAAAAGUUUAAUUGGGGAGAUUGAUAAAAAUUAAAAACUUUAGUUUGAUAAAAAUAAGAACCAUUAAUAAUGAAUAUAUGUUUAAAAUACUCUAGGGAUAACAGCGUUAUAAUUUUUGAUAGUUCUUAUAGACAAAAUAGUUUGCGACCUCGAUGUUGGAUUAGGAUGCUUAUUUAAUGAAGAAGUUAAAUAAAGAAGUUUGUUCAACUUUUAAAAUCCUACUUGAUCUGAGUUCAGACCGG
rnacentral:rRNA from 1 species